AGAGUUUGAUCAUGGCUCAGAUUGAACGCUGGCGGCAGGCCUAACACAUGCAAGUCGAACGGUAACAGGAAGCAGCUUGCUGCUUUGCUGACGAGUGGCGGACGGGUGAGUAAUGUCUGGGAAACUGCCUGAUGGAGGGGGAUAACUACUGGAAACGGUGGCUAAUACCGCAUAACGUCGCAAGACCAAAGAGGGGGACCUUCGGGCCUCUUGCCAUCAGAUGUGCCCAGAUGGGAUUAGCUAGUUGGUGAGGUAACGGCUCACCAAGGCGACGAUCCCUAGCUGGUCUGAGAGGAUGACCAGCCACACUGGAACUGAGACACGGUCCAGACUCCUACGGGAGGCAGCAGUGGGGAAUAUUGCACAAUGGGCGCAAGCCUGAUGCAGCCAUGCCGCGUGUAUGAAGAAGGCCUUCGGGUUGUAAAGUACUUUCAGCGGGGAGGAAGGUGUUGUGGUUAAUAACCGCAGCAAUUGACGUUACCCGCAGAAGAAGCACCGGCUAACUCCGUGCCAGCAGCCGCGGUAAUACGGAGGGUGCAAGCGUUAAUCGGAAUUACUGGCGUAAAGCGCACGCAGGCGGUCUGUCAAGUCGGAUGUGAAAUCCCCGGGCUCAACCUGGGAACUGCAUUCGAAACUGGCAGGCUUGAGUCUUGUAGAGGGGGGUAGAAUUCCAGGUGUAGCGGUGAAAUGCGUAGAGAUCUGGAGGAAUACCGGUGGCGAAGGCGGCCCCCUGGACAAAGACUGACGCUCAGGUGCGAAAGCGUGGGGAGCAAACAGGAUUAGAUACCCUGGUAGUCCACGCCGUAAACGAUGUCUACUUGGAGGUUGUGCCCUUGAGGCGUGGCUUCCGGAGCUAACGCGUUUAAGUAGACCGCCUGGGGGAGUACGGCCGCAAGGUUAAAACUCAAAUGAAUUGACGGGGGCCCGCACAAGCGGUGGAGCAUGUGGUUUAAUUCGAUGCAACGCGAAGAACCUUACCUGGUCUUGACAUCCACAGAACUUUCCAGAGAUGGAUUGGUGCCUUCGGGAACUGUGAGACAGGUGCUGCAUGGCUGUCGUCAGCUCGUGUUGUGAAAUGUUGGGUUAAGUCCCGCAACGAGCGCAACCCUUAUCCUUUGUUGCCAGCGAUUAGGUCGGGAACUCAAAGGAGACUGCCAGUGAUAAACUGGAGGAAGGUGGGGAUGACGUCAAGUCAUCAUGGCCCUUACGACCAGGGCUACACACGUGCUACAAUGGCGCAUACAAAGAGAAGCGACCUCGCGAGAGCAAGCGGACCUCAUAAAGUGCGUCGUAGUCCGGAUUGGAGUCUGCAACUCGACUCCAUGAAGUCGGAAUCGCUAGUAAUCGUGGAUCAGAAUGCCACGGUGAAUACGUUCCCGGGCCUUGUACACACCGCCCGUCACACCAUGGGAGUGGGUUGCAAAAGAAGUAGGUAGCUUAACCUUCGGGAGGGCGCUUACCACUUUGUGAUUCAUGACUGGGGUGAAGUCGUAACAAGGUAACCGUAGGGGAACCUGCGGUUGGAUCACCU
rnacentral:rRNA from 1 species